CGGGAAGCUGGUGACGUCAGCACGCCGGGCCCCGCCCACCUGCUUCAUUCCGCUUCAUUCUAUUCCAUUUCCUUCUUCUUUUUUUUUUUUUUUUGCAUCCAUUUUUCCCGCAUUUAAGAAAACUGUGGGGGAAAGAAAUGAUGACCCAGGAGGCGAGGAGAGGAGAGAGGAGAGAGAACACGGAAGCGCGGUGGAGGUUAUAAAGGGAAAGAGGGGAUAAAAGGAGGGAAGAAGGAAGACAAAAAAGGGAGGAGGGCGCUGAAAAUAAAUAAUAAAGGAAAUAAAAUAAUAAAAAAAAGGCCUCGGGAUUGAUAUAUGUGAUCAUUCUCCUGUUUGUGAUGGAUGAGCGCGAGCCGGGUGUGUGCACAGGACGCAGUGGGCAUGGGUUAGACUGGGAUUAGUCAUGAUGUGGAGAUAAAACAUCUCUUUUUGAAAAAGAUGUCAGCUCCGGAGAUGCCGGACCUGAGCCACCUGACCGAGGAGGAGAGGAAGAUCAUCCUCUCGGUCAUGGAUCGGCAGAAGAAAGAAGAAGAGAAGGAGCAGUCCAUGUUGAAAAGCCCUUUCUCCUGUUUGAGGUUUAGAAAGAUCCAGGAUGAGCUAGCUCUGUGAAUGAUCUGCGUCUUCACCCUGACGUAGCACCGCCUCAACCUCGCGGAAAAUGAAACGCCGUACCUACA
ensembl:lncRNA